GACGAACGCUGGCGGCGUGCUUAACACAUGCAAGUCGAGCGGUAAGGCCCUUUCGGGGGUACACGAGCGGCGAACGGGUGAGUAACACGUGGGUGACCUGCCCUCAGCUCUGGGAUAAGCCUGGGAAACCGGGUCUAAUACCGGAUAUGACUCCGCGGUGCAUGCUGUGGGGUGGAAAGCCUUGUGCGGCUGGAGAUGGGCCCGCGGCCUAUCAGCUUGUUGGUGGGGUGANGGCCUACCAAGGCGACGACGGGUAGCCGGCCUGAGAGGGCGACCGGCCACACUGGGACUGAGACACGGCCCAGACUCCUACGGGAGGCAGCAGUGGGGAAUCUUGCGCAAUGGGCGAAAGCCUGACGCAGCGACGCCGCGUGAGGGAUGACGGCCU
rnacentral:rRNA from 1 species